rnacentral:lncRNA from 1 species
GGAAGUUUUACAGAAUCCAGUCAGAUUGAAGAAAGACGCCAGAGCCGGAGUUUUGUACAUCCAUUUGCACAGUACUGUACAACAAGUUUCCUUUGCUGAGUUCCUUGGUCAGGGGUUAAACACAUUUUCUGUCCAGUACUGCAGUUGGAAUUUUCCAUCAACAUUUUUAUGACAACCGAUGUCCAUGUCAAAAGAACGUCUAUUCUUUAAGCUCUCUUUACUUACCUUUGUGAGGAUGAGGCAUGCCUGGUGAAAGAAUACAUGGGCAACCUAAAAGAAGAAUUUUUGAAGGACCUGACAAACACCACCAUGGCCAUAUGUGUCAUCAAAAAGUAAAGAGGAGAUUAUGAGGACAUUGGCAUCGUUGUGGAUGGAACAGUGAUUAUUGAACAGAUAAAAUCUGUUGCACAAGCCUGUGCACUGAUGUUGGGGGCAAUUUAUGUGCUUGAUUUGGCCUACCCAAAAGAACUCAAAUACUAUUUGGAGUUUGCCCAAAAAGUACUUGUGCAAAUGAACUCUGACAAGCUCUCCUCAAAGGUUCUCAUACUGGAAACCAGUGUGAUACUGUAAUUUUAAGCAUUGAAGUGUUGAUAAAUGCUCAACAACCAAAUGUAUAUCAUAUACAAAUUGCAGUUUAGUGUAGGAAUUGUUUAAUAAGUGAAUUCAGUUUUCUUUGUGUGCAAAAUUAAUUAGCUGUAGGAACGUGUGUGUGUGUGUGUGUGUGUGUGUGUGAGAGAGAGAGAGCAUGUG